rnacentral:rRNA from 1 species
GACAGAGGUGCCGAGCGUUAGGCGGAAUCACUGGGCUUAAAGCGUGUGUAGGCGGAUCUGUAAGUACCUUGUGAAAUCCCACGGCUCAACCGUGGAACUGCUUGGUAUACUGCGGAUCUUGAGCCACCUAGGGGCGAGCGGAACAAGUGGUGGAGCGGUGAAAUGCGUAGAUAUCACUUGGAACGCCAAUGGUGAAAACAGCUCGCUGGGGGUGUGGCUGACGCUGAGACACGAAAGCCAGGGGGAGCAAACGGG